rnacentral:sRNA from 1 species
AGGAUUGAGGAGUUGGAAGAGACCUUUAGAACAGCUGGUCAUUAUGCUGACCGGGUGUCUGCACUAAGUUUGGCAUCAAUAUGGUGACCUCCUGGGCUAGGGGGCCAACAGGUUGCCUAAGGAUGGGUGAACUGGCCCAGGUCAGAAACGGAGUAGGUCAGAGCUCCUGCACCGACUGGUAGUGGGACUGUGCCUGCGCAAUAUAGCAAGAUCUUGGUUCUU